UACGUAGGGUCCGAGCGUUGUCCGGAAUUACUGGGCGUAAAGAGCUCGUAGGUGGUUUGUCGCGUUGUUCGUGAAAACUCACAGCUCAACUGUGGGCGUGCGGGCGAUACGGGCAGACUAGAGUACUGCAGGGGAGACUGGAAUUCCUGGUGUAGCGGUGGAAUGCGCAGAUAUCUGGAGGAACACCGGUGGCGAAGGCGGCAUCCUGGACCGAGAUUGACGCUGAGGCGCGAAAGCCAGGGGAGCAAACGGGG
rnacentral:rRNA from 1 species